GGGGAAUUUUGGACAAUGGGGGCAACCCUGAUCCAGCCAUGCCGCGUGAGUGAAGAAGGCCUUCGGGUUGUAAAGCUCUUUCGGCCGGGAAGAAAUCGUGCAGGCUAAUACCCUGUAUGGAUGACGGUACCGGAAUAAGAAGCACCGGCUAACUACGUGCCAGCAGCCGCGGUAAUACGAAGGGUGCAAGCGUUACUCGGAAUUACUGGGCGUAAAGCGUGCGUAGGUGGUUGUGUAAGACAGGUGUGAAAUCCCCGGGCUUAACCUGGGAACUGCGCUUGUGACUGCACGGCUAGAGUACGGCAGAGGGGGGUGGAAUUCCUGGUGUAGCAGUGAAAUGCGUAGAGAUGUGGAGGAACACCGAUGGCGAAGGCAGCCCCCUGGGCCUGUACUGACGCUCAUGCACGAAAGCGUGGGGAGCAAACA
rnacentral:rRNA from 1 species